GAUGAAGAACGUAGCGAAAUGCGAUACGUAAUGUGAAUUGCAGAAUUCAGUGAAUCAUCGAAUCUUUGAACGCAUAUUGCGCUCUCUGGUAUUCCGGAGAGCAUGCUUGUUUGAGUAUCAGUAAACACCUCAACUUCCAUAUCUUUUUUGAAAUGGGAGUUGGACUUGAGUGAUCCCAACGCUUUUCCUCACCGAAAAGUGGCGGGUUACUUGAAAUGCAGGUGCAGCUGGACUUUUCUCUGAGCUAUAAGCAUAUCUAUUUAGUCUGCCUAAAAAACAGAUUAUUACCUUUGCUGCAGCUAACAUAAAGGAGAUUAGUUCUUGUGCUGACUGAUGCAGGAUUCACAAAGACAGCUUCGGCCGACUUUGUAAACUCGAUCUCAAAUCAAGUAAGACUACCCGCUGAACUUAAGCAUAUCAAUAAGCGGAGG
rnacentral:misc_RNA from 1 species